rnacentral:rRNA from 1 species
UACAGAGGGUGCGAGCGUUAAUCGGAAUUACUGGGCGUAAAGCGCACGUAGGUGGCGACGUAAGUCGGGUGUGAAAGCCCCGGGCUCAACCUGGGAAUUGCAUUCGAGACUGCAUUGCUGGAGUACGGAAGAGGAAGGCGGAAUUCCCGGUGUAGCGGUGAAAUGCGUAGAUAUCUGGAGGAACACCGGUGGCGAAGGCGGCAUCCUGGACCAAUAUUGACGCUGAGGAGCGAAAGCUAGGGGAGCAAACGGG